CAGGCUGCCUGAGCUAGUAGUGGCAACCAGCUUGCGUCCGUUUCCAUGUUGUGGGAGAUUUGUUCUUUCGCUCUUUGUGGUAAAUCUUGCUACUGCUCACUCUUUGAGUCCACACUGCUUUUAUGAGCUGUAACACUCACCGGGAAGGUCUGCAGCUUCAAUCCUGAAGCCAGCGAGGCCACCAGCCCACCGGGAGGAACGAACAACUCCAGACGCACCGCCUUAAGAGCUGUAACACUCACCGCGAAGGUCUGCAGCUUCACUCCUGAGCCAGCGAGACCACGAACCCACCAGAAGAAAGAAACUCCGAACACAUCCGAACACCAGAAGGAACAAACUCCAGACGCGCCAACUGUAACACUCACCGCGAGGAUCCGUGGCUUCAUUCUUGAAGUUAUUGUCUUCAGAAGGAGAGUAAAAAGAAUGCUGGGUAGAAGAAAUACCUGAAGAAAUAAUGGCCCAACCUCAAAUUUGGUGAAAGACAUAAACUUACAGAUUCAAGAAACUGAGUGUUCCCCAAACAGAAUAAACUUUAAAGAAUCCACACUCAAACACAUCAUAAUCAAACUUCUGAAAACUAACAACAAAGAAAAACUUAAAAUCAGCAAGAGAGAAACCACACAUUAUCAACUGAUGAAAAGUGACUCAAGUGACAGCAGAUUUAUAAUCAGAAACUUGAAGGACAGAAGGAAGAGGCAAAACAUUUUGAAAGCCCUAAAAGGAAAGAACUGUCAACCCAGAAUUCGACAUCCAGUAAAAAUAUCCGUCAAGAAUGAAUAUGAAGGAAAGCUAAGAAUGAAUAUAUCUUCUAUUUCUUUGCUAAAUUUUUCUACUUUUUCAUUUGAUGUAAGAGUGUUUAUAAGUGCUUAUGGAGCAUUUUUAUGAUAGUUGGUUUACAAUCCUUGUCUGAGAGUAGCUAUGUGAGAUGACGUAUAUAGUAAAUGGUGACUGUAGUAACCAUUUCACUACAUAUAAGUAUGUCAAAACAUGUUGUACACCUUAAAUAUACACAAAAAAUAGCUCUGACACAAAAAAUGCAUAGUUGUUAUUACCAUGUAUAAAUAAAAAUACUUGUAAGUUUAGAAAAUAAAAUCAUUGUCUGAUAAUUAUCUAAAUAAUAAAGUCCA
rnacentral:lncRNA from 1 species